AAAAAGUGUGAAUUUAUUUUAAUUUUUGUUUAUUGUUGUUUUGUUUAAUUCGAAAUGUUUGUGAACUCGAUAGGAGCAUAUUUUAGGCCAAGAGCUUAAUAGGCAAAGAUAGGUUCGGGUAGGCGAAUUUAGGGAUAUCGUUGAAUGUUGAAAAUUUAAAUGUGUGGUGAAUAUUUUAUAGUUUAUUGUACUUGAUUCAAAUGUAUGCAUUGGGUCGGGGAAUGCCCCG
rnacentral:lncRNA from 1 species